GCCGGGCGCGGUGGCUCACGCCUGUAAUCCCUGCACUCUGGGAGGCUGAGGCGGGAGGAUUACUUGAGGUCAGGAGUUCAAGACCAGCCUGGCCAACACAGUGAAACCCCGUCUCUA
ensembl:misc_RNA Metazoa_SRP Metazoan signal recognition particle RNA